UGCUAGCUGUGCAUCCCCACAGGCUAGGUCUCAGGAGCCAUGAAGAAGUAGGAGGGGAUGAAAAUCAUGCUGGACAGUGGGUGCGAGAGUGGAGCGGUGACUGUCAGUGUUUACUUGGUCUGUAUUCAUUGAGUGGAUUUCACGCACCAAUAGAGCUGUAUGUAGUGAUUUCUCAUGCUUGGCUUUUGCAGCUGCGCUUCUAGAGGAAUCAUGGAGGAGCAGUAGCCAAAGGAGAAGGUGGCAGAUGUGGACCUGAGCAGCUUGGGCAUUCUUCUAAGCAGAGAUUAACAGUCCUCAGCUUUCUGCCUUGCACAUAACUGGCUUAUUGUUCACAGGCCGUGUGCUUCCUCGUUGGGUACAGGACUCUGUGGUAUUAAGGCUGGGGAGUGGCCAGAGUCUGCUGUUCAGAGUGACUGUUGGAUGCUGUUGCAAGGGCUGCUUUUUGGCUGAAAUGCUAAAGGUGUCAUGGGAAGAGUGUUGAGGGUGGAGCGCCGCCAUGUGGGAGAGGUGAAAAGAAGAGCUAAUGCGAUGUUGCCCGCUUAGAUGAGGCCCGCUCAAGGCCAAUGGAGCCGCCCCAGACAGAGGAGAAGCAUCUGGAGGAAUCAGACCUGCACAAUCUAGAUGUUUUUCACUUGGCAGUGGAGCUAAGGAGUGCUCUCGUGAUAUUCGAGGAGCAGUACAAAGGGAAAAGAAGUGGAGGGUCAGAGUCUGCUCCCCUCAUGCGAUGGAAAGCAAGUAAGAGCGGAGAGACAGCGAACAUUACUGAUGUCAGGCAAGAGCCGUCCAGCUUGGAGCCGAGCAGCCGUCACCGUCAGUGAGAGAAGUGUCUUGUUAGCUGCUCUUGCAGAGGAAUUGUCCAGGAGCCCUAGCUGGAGGAGGAAGAGGCAGAAGUGG